UACGUAGGGUCCGAGCGUUGUCCGGAAUCACUGGGCGUAAAGGGUGCGUAGGCGGCCGUGCAAGUCUGGCGUGAAAGCCCCGGACUCAGCCCGGGAAGUGCGCUCGAAACUGCGCGGCUCGAGUGCCGGAGGGGAGAGUGGAAUUCCUGGUGUAGCGGUGAAAUGCGUAGAUAUCAGGAGGAACACCGGUGGCGAAGGCGGGUCUCUGGGCCGAUACUGACGCUGAGGAGCGAAAGCGUGGGGAGCGAACAGG
rnacentral:rRNA from 1 species